GACCCUCCAACACUAUGUAGACUGAGGAGCCUCUGACCAACUCAGCUUCUGAAAAAAAUCCAAACCUGUCCCUGCAGUUUCGGCUGUGCUGUUUCCGGAGUCAAGUAUUGAGGUUGAAGGAGGCUGAUUAGGCCUGGUCUGUGGCAGAAUGGUGCCCAAGCAGGGACCUCUGGACAGUCUGGGAUGUCUUUGGCAUCUUCAUCUGCAUACCUUCUUUUGCUGCAGGAACACUCUGCUUGGACAGAUGGCAUAUUUGGACACAUUCACAGGAUGACAUGUCAUGCAAUAUUAAAAUGAAAAGUGACUCUAUGUGCUGGUCUAAGAAGAUCUUGAAGAUAGAGAUGACAGACCACCUGGACAAUGCUUCAUGAUCGUUUUUGUUAAAGGACUGUCACCCUGAAUUGGGAGGCUCCUGGCACUUUGCCCUUCUGCUUGUUGACAUCCCCUGAAGGAGGAGUUCUCAGGACACAUCAGGUGAAUUCUAGCCAUAACAUCAGGCUCCAAAGAGUUUUCUAGCUAAUAAUGUCCACUAUUGAAGACGUUUCGUUCUUGUCUAUUUGCUGGAUGCCUGGGUUAGCAGAAGCUUGUCUAAGGAGUCACUGCCUGUGUUGAAGUGGGCUCUGCAGUGAAAUAGCUGUUGGGAAGUUACCCAAGCUCCUCUGCCUGGAGUCAUGGCCUCAGCCAUGGCCUUGUGGAUAUUUUCUAGCUCACAUAAACAAUCCUGAGAGAACAUUCGUGGUCGUAACAGCAAGAAAGUUUAUGGGAAAAGAGGACACUGUGACUGUUGGUUCCAGGAGCUGAAGAUUGCCACCUGACCUUCAGAGAGCCCCCAGUCUCUCCCACUCCCCACCCCCCAUCCCUUGGAGCCUCCUCUUGCUUAUGCUUAUAUUGCCACUCCUGAAUAAAGUUUUCAGAGCUUGAUCAGUA
rnacentral:lncRNA from 1 species